rnacentral:ncRNA from 1 species
CUUGGGAAACAUGCAAGUCGAACGGGAAGUGGUGUUUCCAGUGGCGAACGGGUGAGUAACGCGUAAGAACCUACCCUUGGGAGAGGAAAAACAACUGGAAACAGUUGCUAAUAUCCCAUAGGCUGAGGAGCAAAAGGAGAAAUCAGCCCAAGGAGGGGCUCGCGUCUGAUUAGCUAGUUGGUGAGGCAAUAGCUUACCAAGGCGAUGAUUAGUAGCUGGUCCGAGAGGAUGAUCAGCCACACUGGGACUGAGACACGGCCCAGACUCCUACGGGAGACAGCAGUGGGGAAUUUUCCGCAAUGGGCGAAAGCCUGACAGAGCAAUG